UAGGGAAUAUUGGACAAUGGGCGCAAGCCUGAUCCAGCCAUGCCGCGUGAGUGAAGAAGGCCCUCGGGUUGUAAAGCUCUUUUGUCCGGAAAGAAAAGCAUCGGGUUAAUACCCCGGUGUUCUGACGGUACCGGAAGAAUAAGCACCGGCUAACUUCGUGCCAGCAGCCGCGGUAAUACGAAGGGUGCAAGCGUUACUCGGAAUUACUGGGCGUAAAGCGUGCGUAGGUGGUUCGUUAAGUCUGAUGUGAAAGCCCUGGGCUCAACCGGGGAAUGGCAUUGGAAACUGGCGGACUGGAGUGCGGUAGAGGGUAGCGGAAUUCCCGGUGUAGCAGUGAAAUGCGUAGAGAUCGGGAGGAACAUCCGUGGCGAAGGCGGCUACCUGGACCAGCACUGACACUGAGGCACGAAAGCGUGGGGAGCAAACA
rnacentral:rRNA from 1 species